AUUUACGAUGCAUAUGAUGUAAUUUAUGAUGGUCAUUCACAAGCAAAUACACCUCCUCUGUUCCCCUUAGGCUGAUGCCCUCAUGCCAGUCUGGACCUAAGGCACUACCAAGCUCUCCUGAUCCUGUGUUGAAGCUCAUACCCAAGAAAAGGCCAACUGUACUUAAAGUUGCACAAUGUAAGAUUUGGGGGUUUGCACGUCAUGUACUAUCACGCAAUGUGCAAAACAACACUGUACCUUCAGCUGUGCUUCCCUGACUGGAUACAUCUGAUGAUUGUGAGUGGUCUGAAAGAUAAUUACAAGAGAACUCAGUCAAAAUUUGGUGAAGGACUUGUCCUCCGAAGAUCGAAGUGUAUUAUCUACUAUUGUCAUCUUCAUCACUAUAAAGUUGUUUUGCAUUUGAGACCUAAACAUCAUGCUGGAUGUUCUUUGUGAGCCUGUGCAUGUGACAUUUACAUAAAGCUGUAUUAUCUGAUCUGAUGCCUCUGACCUUUGAAGUACUAUUUCAGGCUUUACAGACUCACAACGGCACAAAGGCACCAUAUUAUAGCAUGCUAUUUUUCCUACUGACUCGGUAAUGCUACUUCUUUCCAUUUUAACAACAAAAAAAAAUCUUACAUAGUGCCACUUUAAGCCAAAACAAACAAGUAAGAAGACAACAGCAGUUUAGAGAUCAGCCCUGAACUAGACCUUUAUUUACCAUCUUUAGAGGCUGUGGUGUAGCGUGUUCUCUUGCACGGCAGUGCUUUCUCUGGCUUGUCUGCCUCCAGUGAGGGGAUGAGAAACUGGGCAGCUCCUGCAUCAAAGAAUGUAUUCCCUAUGGCCUUGUCCUUUAUUGCCCAGAUCACUUCACAGCCCUCCACUUCAUACCUACAAACAAGGAAACAUAGCACAAGGAAUAGUGGAUACAAGUGCGAUCACAAAACCAGCCACAAGGGGGCAUCUGAUCAUGUAAGACUGCUGGGAUUCGUUCCAUUAAUAUGUACAGUAUAUCUGCAAAUCAUACUGUUUUAAAUGUACACUUCUUCAUAAACUAUAUUUAUGUGACAUUUUAACGCUGCAUUCUUUCACCACACAAAAGCAGUACUGAGCUCAUACCGAAAAAAUUCUAAAUACAUGUUUAAAAAGAAUAUGCAAAUACUGCAUAAUGAAACAGUAUAGGUGUAAAAAUGCAUUGAUGCAUCAUGGUGCAUUGAGCUGAAGGUGGAAAUUCUGCUUUGAUUUUGGAAUGUCAUUAACAAUUGAUUACAAUAACAUUCAAUACUAUCUGACCAUGCUAAAAUUCUGGAUUCAUUUUCAAAUACAAAGAAAAAAUAAAAGUACCAUUUA